UACGUAGGGGGCAAGCGUUGUCCGGAAUCAUUGGGCGUAAAGAGCGUGUAGGCGGCCCGAUAAGUCCGCUGUGAAAGUCCAGGGCUCAACCCUGGGAUGCCGGUGGAUACUGUCGGGCUCGAGUCCGGAAGAGGAGUGUGGAAUUCCUGGUGUAGCGGUGAAAUGCGUAGAUAUCGGAAGGAACACCUGUGGCGAAAGCGGCUCACUGGACCAUAACUGACGCUGAGGCGCGAAAGCUAGGGGAGCAAACAGG
rnacentral:rRNA from 1 species